rnacentral:lncRNA from 1 species
GCGUAAGCUGCUGACACGCACGUGGUAGUAGCGAAAUGCCAUACUAAAACGCUGCUGCCACGCACGGAAGUGACGUCAGAGUUAUGAUGACGUUGUUUAAACAAGUAUGACGUGUUCCGGUUUAUAGUUUUGCGCGCGCUGCUGGAGCUGCUUCAGCUUUUCAGCUUAGCUAAGACACAAUUUUACGGUUUCUUACUGUAUUGUGUGCUAGAAUGUUGUUCUAGUUGCGCUGGAAGAAUCGGAUGGUGUUCGAACUUGCGAUCACGAGCGACACUUGGACGCAACGCUGGAGCAGCUCGUUUCCUUAUGCCUUGCAGCGCGUUUAUGCCAGAGUGCGGGAAGCCUCGAGCUCGCUUCUUCCCGGCGCCGCCCCGGCUUCGAGGGCCGCCGGGGACCUUCUCCAUCGGCGUUGCCGCCGCUGGGAGACGACUCUCAAAAGUUCAGAGUUGGCAGACCGCAGCUCUGGGCCAUCCGGCAAGCCGAAGGUGCCGCUCGAGUUCAAGGACUUCGAGCCGCCACCUGACAAAAACUGCCGGACCAUUCUCUAUUAAAGUUUCUUCUUCAUCCUUCGUAGGAUUGCUGUUGCAUAUAUUGCCCGACACCAAACCGAAGAAGUUGUCGAUCACUUUGGACUUUUCUCAAACAGGGUGUUGUCCGGUGAUUGAAUUUCUCUUCACACAAGGACAGAUUGUGAAGGAGAUUUUGUAAACUAUCAGCAGCAGUAGAGAACGAGGCACAAAGAAUAAAGGAAAUUGAUGGACCCAA